CGGUAACAGGCCUUCGGGUGCUGACGAGUGGCGAACGGGUGAGUAAUGCAUCGGAACGUGCCCAGUCGUGGGGGAUAACUGCUCGAAAGAGCAGCUAAUACCGCAUACGAUCUGCGGAUGAAAGCGGGGGACCUUCGGGCCUCGCGCGAUUGGAGCGGCCGAUGUCAGAUUAGGUAGUUGGUGGGGUAAAGGCCUACCAAGCCGACGAUCUGUAGCUGGUCUGAGAGGACGACCAGCCACACUGGGACUGAGACACGGCCCAGACUCCUACGGGAGGCAGCAGUGGGGAAUUUUGGACAAUGGGCGCAAGCCUGAUCCAGCAAUGCCGCGUGCGGUAAGAAGGCCUUCGUGUUGUAAACCGCUUUUGUACGGAACGAAAAGGCUCUGGCGAAUACCUGGGGCUGAUGACGG
rnacentral:rRNA from 1 species